CGCCUCCUCCUACUGCUGCUACUGCUGGCGAGGGGCGGGCAGCGUUGUGCGCAAGCGCAGCAACCCCCCCCUCCGGGGCACAGGGGUACGAAGGCCACACUGCGCAUGCGUAGCAAUCCCCCUCUCCCGGCCACUGGGGAGGGGAGGCGCACACCGCAGGCGCAGAAAACACCGCUCUUGGGCAUGUGAGACCAGCGCUGUUAUGCGCAGGCGUAGACACCCCCUCCCGUCCUGAACAUCCAGGGGCGGGCAGCUUUGUGCGCAGCCGCACCAGACUCCAUGUGGGCCCCGCCUCCGCCGCCUGCCCCACGCUGUGCCCCCAUUGGCCGCGCCUCGCGCACAGGGAGAGGGCGGACGGAGCUCAGUGCUAAGGCACCGAGGACGGCGCGAGAAGCGGGCGCGGGAGAGGGAAAGUAGGACAGCGGCGCGCGCUGUCCCGCUCCAUCACACACGUGGCUGGUUCCGCCCGGCCUUCGACAGCUGUGCCCAGGGAUGGGCUGCCGCGCCCCCAGGCGAUGACCUUGCAGCUCUCUUGCCCCAAAACACGCUCCAGCCACUGGCCUUGCAGCUCCAUAAGUGCCCGAGGGUUGGCCCCGCAGGUUUCCUGCCCAGGGUGUCUCUCCAGGGCACUGUUGAAGCAUAUCACUGAGGAGAAACUGCCUCAUUCCCUGUGUGAAUCUCCUAAGAUCCAUUAUUGUUGCUGUCUUCAUCUUCAGAGAGGUUCUUCAGAUUUUCAUAUGAAGGGCUCCAAGUACCUAAAAACGUGGACAUCUGUAGGAAAGCUACUUCCAAAUGGGAACAUCACAGUGGGAGAAGCCUCUGUCUACUCCUCACCCUGCAUUUGAGUCUAUGAAUUAUUUAGAGGCUUGGAAGGAUUAGAUUUUUGAUAGAUAUCAGUAAACAUCUAUUUCACCGUACACACACAAACUGACAAAAAGUAUUUCCAUCCAUAAUAACUGAAAUAUACAGGCAGGCAAAGUUAGAAAAAUGCUACUUGAGAACGUAUUAGAGUUUGAUUUAACAAUACGUACUUGGUAUAUUUUGACAUGUGACGUUGAUAAUUUGUAUUUUAAUGGUUAUAAAGUUUUAACUUUCUGAAUUUCAGUGUCUUCUGUCACUAAAUAAUUUUUGUCUGACCACCCCGUUGCCUGAACCUCCCAUACUUUCCCACAAGUGUGAACAUUUAAAUGGUUAAAAAUAAAAAAAGCUUUAAAAUAAACAUCAGUAUCCAUUGAAAUGAUAUUAAAAAAAUUGAUUCUGUCAAGCCUGAUCAUUCGGUAUCCCUGAGGCACAUGAUUAGUAUGGCCCAUUGAUGCAUCUAAGGUCUAGUAAGCUGGGAUGCGCCGUCUUGAAUGCCAACAACACAUUGUAGUUCCUGGGUACUGAUAAGAACAUCCUAUGAAACUGUUUACCUUUUACCAGAACUAGGUAAUUAGCCUAUGGGACCACAAUAUAUUCAUUAGAGAGAGAGAGAGAAAUACUUGAAAUGUUUGUAUUUUUUUCCCCAA